AAGUAUGGAGGCUACACUCUCAUGCACCUGGAGAGCAACACUCUUCUAGAUUUUCUGCCUAUUCAGAGCAAUGAAGUUGGUGGUAGCUACCGUAUGGAGAAGGGGGGGCUGAAGCGAUGCCUGGAUCUUCUGGAGUCGAGUGGUUUGGCAGUGGAGUACAUUAUCACUGACCAUCAUCCACAGAUCCAGAAGUUUCUGGGAAGGCGGUAUCACACAGUUCUAUGAUAUGUGGCAGUUUGAGAAAGAUCCCAGACACCUGAACCUGCCAUUGACCAUGAUGGCCAUUCUGUUGCAGAGAGCCUCACAUUCCUCCAUGCUGACAUAAGGACACAGGAGUAAACACAUAAGCAUUUACACUAGCUCCAAUGAUUGAAUACGGAUUUGUGGGUGCCUUGUGUUAUAUUAUCAUCCUCAUUUUUAU